CAUAAAGCGAGAGGUAAACUACUCCUUUUUUAACAAAUUUGCCUGGUUAAACAAUAUACUUUACCAAGUAAGAUAAGUAAAGUUGUUUUUUCCGAAUUCAAAGAUCACAACACAUUCUUUUGAAUUAGAUUUUGGUGCAAAUUUUGGCAUGCUGACUGAGGUUCAAAAGCAAAUACUGUUUCAUUUGGAAUCAGUGUUGAAUAAAUGCGAAUUCCUGUAAGUUCAUCCCUAGUUUAUGACAUUAUCAUUUUUUUUAAUAUGAUGAAUUCUAAUAUGUGUUAAAUACAGUAAAAUGAAUUUACAAAAGGCAAUUGUUUUGAGCAUUGAACUUCAACAAGUUCAGGAUGAGCAGCUGCGCAAGAUUAACGCUACAGAAUAAGAGGUUUUGUAAGGUUGCUCUCUAAUUAAGGCUUUACUUUUCAUUCAUGAAAUAUCGCAUAUUCAUUUCCAUCGCUUCUUUAGAUUGCAUUCAUUAUGCAUAAUACGCAGAGUUACUUACUAUUAAUAAAGCUGUUAGGUACCUAAAGAGGUAAAAACUCGUUUAAAGUAUUAAAGAAAACUAUAGAAUUGGAACCUGUUUAGUAAGCCCGAUAGCAUUUAAAAAUAAAAAAAACUCUAAUUUGAG